UCAGUUUCAAACAACUAUAUUGCAAGCUGUUAUCUGUUUCAAAGUCAAAGCAGCUAUACUGGUGAAUAGGAAGGGGAGGAAAUUUCCUGGGAUAUUAUUGACUUUCUGUUCUUUGCUGUGUAGACAUAGGAAUUAGAAGGUUGCGAAUAAAGUUCAGUAUCUGCCUGUAGUGCGGAUGGGUAACUCACUAAGCAAAGGCUGCCCAGGGCUCUAAUUGUUAUGCUUUUAUCAGUUGCUUAAUAGAAAGGGGUUCCUUGAGUCAAUGAAACAAGAACAAGAAGAAAGAGCCUAGAAUAUGGAACUGUUUAUGUCAGUACAUUAUCAUUCAGGAUGAUAUUUGAGAGAUUAGGAAACAGGUCAAAUAGAUAUAGUACUUUACAUGGAUUCAAGAGAUGCCAGGAGGAUUCAGGGGAGAUUGCUCGAUUGGUAAUGACCUUGCUGAACAUGUAUGCAGAACAGAGUUCAGAUCCCAGCACCUAUGUAAAAGCCAGACAGAGCAUCACAGUUAUGUAAACCUUGCGCUGUGGCUGGAUCAGGCAGAUCCCAAGUGUUUGCAGGCUGUAACAUCUGGCAGAAACAAGUUUUCAGAUUCAGUGAUAAACCUUGUCUGAAAGUAUAGUGGGAAGGCCAAUGGAAGAAGACAACUGAUGUUGACUUUUGGCCUACAUACCACACACACACACACACACACACACACACACACACACACACACACCUCAUACCACACAACACACACAACACAGACAACACAUACACCCCCCCCACACACACACACACAUACACACACAUCAAAGGAAGAAAGAACAUUUAGGAAAAUGGCCUUACAGAGGUAUUAAGAAAUAACCUAUUUUACUUGAAAGCAUUCUAUGCUUCUAAGUUCUUUUUUCACUUAAACUUGGGUUUCUAGAAAAACCCCAAAGAUUCUAAUUUUAUUGAGAACAUUGCAUAAUGUUACGAUGGUUUCCCAAACCAGUACUGCUGCUUCUAAGGCUAAAGUCGCAGUUAACACUCAGCACACUGCAUCCUCAGAAUUCACCUAC
rnacentral:lncRNA from 1 species